GCCAACGGCCAUACCAUGUUGAAUACACCGUUUCUCGUCCGAUCACCGAAGUUAAGCAACAUCGGGCGUGGUUAGUACCUGGAUGGGUGACCGCCUGGGAACACCGCGUGCUGUUGGCA
rnacentral:rRNA from 1 species